GAACACAACAGAAGGUCCGCAGAAGCCAACUGUGCCAGGAGCAGUCCCAUGAAGUGCCGUAGACAGAGGUGCCAGAGGGACAAUCCUAGCUUGCGGAACUCUGUGAGGCCAGAUGGAGGGGCGGCAUUUUAGUGGGACCUUGGGAUGUGGCAAGGGCAGCCAGGGGGAACCCGUGAUGCUUUGAGAGGCCACUCCAGGCAGAGGGAAGAGUCUGAGCGAGGGCACAGCGAUGUCAAGUCCCAAGGAACGGUGAUUCAGUCUGGUGUCCGUGCGUGUGUGUGUGUGUGUGUGUGUGUGUGUGUAUGUGUGAUUAGAGAAGGAGAGAGAGAGGAUAUGGCCAGGGCAGCUAGGGGUAGACCGUGGUGAGCCUCAAACACCAGCCUAAGGAGCAGGGUGGGUUGGGCCAGCCCUAGAAAAUCACAAAGUCUUCUGUGCAAGGCAAGGGGCAUGGUCUGAGCUGUGCUUCAGAAAGAUGAAUCUCUUACCAUGUUCAGCACAGCUGAAGGGACAAGCCCUUCCCAGGGUGGGGAAAUAGGUAGGUGGUCAUUGGCAUAGCCAUUGUGAGAGAUGAUGCUCUGGAGAAGAUUUCUAGCAAAAAAAAAAAAAAAAAAAAAAAAAAGAAAAAGAAAAGAAAGAAAGAAAAAGAAAAAAGAAAAAAAGAAACCAAGGGGAGAGGUGUGGGAAAUAUUGCAAAGGCAGCCUAUGUAAGUAAGAGUCUAAAAGUGCUGAUUGUCUGUUUGCUGUUUAUUGUCCAUUUACUGUUUAUUGUCUGUUCACAGGGUCAGGCUCUGUGCUAGGCACUAAGGGUGUGGGCAGAUUCAGGCGCAGUUUACAAGGAUCCCUUGCUUGGAAGUCUUGGUGAACUCACAGACCAAGGCGGAGAAGAAAGGAAACGUUCGUCGCCUUUUGAGGAUGUGCCAGCACUUAUCGAAGUGUUUUUUGCUUGCCGAAUCCUAUGUUUAGCACACCAAGGAUCCAGGGAUACCUACGACAAGAGCCUGCCCUCAACUCUGGUGGGAAGACAUAGAAAUGAACAGGUCUUUUCAUGACCAAUGUGAGAUGCUUGGGUCAGAGUGCCUCUAAGGUUCCUGUCUUCUCUAAGGUUCAAUGUCAUUACCCUGCUUACCUUCUGCCAGUGACUUUGUACAGCUAUGUAAACCCUGUCCCAUCGCCUCACGGAGCCACCUCCCACAUCAUUUUCUGCCACUUUCCGAAUCAUUGAUCUACUCCAGCCACACUGGCUUCCUCUUUGUUCCUCAGAGAGUCAAGCUUGUCCCUACCUCAGUGCCUUUUCACCUGCUGUUCCCUCAACUUAGGAAGUACUUGCCCUCGAUCGUCACAUGGUUGGGUCCUUCUCACCCUGAUCUCAGCUGAAACUUUGUUUGCUCAGAGAGGCCAUUUCUAACUGCCUUGACUUAGGUGGAUCUGAAGUCUGCCAUAUUGUUUC